AUGAGUACCGAGUCCAGGAACGGGAGCGACAUCGACCCGGAGAACGUCAUCGCCGUCACACUCGACGAUCUGUCGGAAGAUGAUCGGCGCGAGCUUGAACAAGAGAUUAAGAAAGAGAUGGCUGAGCGACUAAAAUUGCAGUUGACUGGAUACCGCAAGACAAGCAUCGGCAUCGUCAAGAAGGUGCAAUCGGCCAUUAAUGAAGAACGAUUGACGUUUACAGAAAGUUCUAAGAUGAAGCUCGAUAGUGACGCUUUUCCUAUCAAUGUGGUCAAGCUUGAGAGUAAGAAAAUGCUUAUUCGGUCGGAUCAGGCCGAAUUCGCAAGAAAGAAAAAUGUCGUUGAUGAUAAUGCUUCUCCAAGGAUGAUCAAACAAAAAAAUCCAGAAGUAGGAGUUUGGAAAGUCAAUGGAAGAAGGAAACAAGCUCCAAGACCAAAGCCGCCAGUUAGCAUGUUGUUGGAGAAGUACACCUCACGCAAGACCAGCAAUGUGUUUAACCGGCUUGGAGAUAAUAAACGUCUUAGAUCUCCUUCUGGACCUGGCGGUCAUGAGCAAUGGCAAAGAAAUUUAUAUGACCAGCAGCCCUAUAUUGCAAUGGAGCCGACGUAUUGGGUUGUGCACCUCCUAUGUACCCGCAGUUUCCUCCAUGGGGUUUUAAUCCUUGGGUGUCAUAUCCUACAGUGCCAGGUUAUUUUCACCCAAAAUGGGUUCUGCCGAGGCCUAUGUUCAGAGCAAACAUACAUGAGAAAAGGGCUCGGCUCAAUGAGGCAGCUAGAUCAUGUGAUGCAAUUGUUGUCCAAAGGGACCGGUCAUUGGUACGGAGUGCAUAUGGUGAAGUUCAUAUAG
rnacentral:rRNA from 1 species